UGGGGAAUUUUCCGCAAUGGGCGAAAGCCUGACGGAGCAAUACCGCGUGAGGGAGGAAUGCCUUUGGGUUGUAAACCUCUUUUCUCAGGGAAGAAGAUCUGACGGUACCUGAGGAAUAAGUAUCGGCUAACUCCGUGCCAGCAGCCGCGGUAAUACGGAGGAUGCAAGCGUUAUCCGGAAUCAUUGGGCGUAAAGCGUCCGCAGGUGGUUUCCAAAGUCUGCUGUUAAAGACUGGAGCUCAACUCCGGAACGGCGGUGGAAACUUGGAAACUAGAGUUCGGUAGGGGUAGCAGGAAUUCCCAGUGUAGCGGUGAAAUGCGUAGAUAUUGGGAAGAACAUCGGUGGCGAAGGCGUGCUACUGGACCGUAACUGACACUCAGGGACGAAAGCUAGGGGAGCGAAAGGGAUUAGAUACCCCUGUAGUCCUAGCUGUAAACGAUGGAAACUAGGUGUGGCU
rnacentral:rRNA from 1 species